rnacentral:rRNA from 1 species
AAACUUUCAACAACGGAUCUCUUGGCUCUAGCAUCGAUGAAGAACGCAGCGAAAUGCGAUAAGUAAUGUGAAUUGCAGAAUUCAGUGAAUCAUCGAAUCUUUGAACGCACAUUGCGCCUGGCAGUAUUCCGCCAGGCAUGCCUGUC